CCUACGGGAGGCAGCAGUAGGGAAUAUUGCUCAAUGGUGGUAACACUGAAGCAGCAACGCCGCGUGGAGGAUGACGGUUUUCUGAGUUUAAACUCCUUUUUUUAGAGAAGUUAAUUACGUUAUGUAACGUGUAAUCACCGUCUCACUCCGUGCCAGCAGCCGCGGUAAUACGGAGGGUGCAAGCGUUACUCGGAAUCACUGGGCGUAAAGAGAGCGUAGGCGGCAUAGCAAGUCAGCCGUGAAAUCCUAUGGCUUAACCAUAGAACUGCAUUUGAAACUGUUAUUCUAGAGUACGCGAGAGGUAGGUGGAAUUCGUGGUGUAGGGGUAAAAUCCGUAGAGAUCAAGAGGAAUACUCAUUGCGAAGGCGACCUGCGAGAACACUACUGACGCUGAUGCGCGAAAGCGUGGGUAGCAAACAGGAUUAGAUACCCGUGUAGUC
rnacentral:rRNA from 1 species